rnacentral:rRNA from 1 species
GUGACGGCACUUGAACGCCCGUAGAAGCAUGGAGGCGCUUCUCGACGGGCGCGUCAUAGUCGGGAUCGCCCAUCGCCAACAUUCCCCUGGUGACGCCAGAGUUCACCUCUUGUCGAAGCAGAUCUCGCCCCGCAGAGAGGUAGCUUAUUGCGUGCUUCUCUGCGAGAUAGGUGCCGCUGUGGU